AGGAAGGAAGAGAAGGAGAGGGAGGAAGGGUUUGUUUGUGUGAAGGGACGAAGGGAAUGGGGUUGAAAGGGUGAAGGUUGGGGGUAUAGGGAAGCACGUGAUAGCGGCCAGAUCACGUACUGGACUCGCCUUUCUUUACCUUCUGCUGCCGUCUGGGAAAUUUAAAGAGAAGCGAAGAUGUAUAUAUUGUUUUAUUGAAGGUGUUGUUGUUGUAGGCCCCGGGGACCGUAGAAAAGUACUAAAAGGAUGCCCAGCGCGGGAGAAAUAAUUAAUAUAGAUGUAUAAAAUGACAUACACAUACAUACACAUACAUACACACACACAUACACACAUACAUUGCUUUUUGGAGACACGAUUAUCGGGCUUUUUUUUCAACACUUUCUUUUUGUUGCCUUUGAGUUGUUUGCUGUAAAAAAAAAUACUCACUCACUCACACACACACACACACACACACACACACACACACACACACACACACACACACACACACACACACACACACACACACACACACUUGAUACAGCUACUGCGUUAAACUUAUUUCUUAAACUUAGCUAAAAGACGAAUACAAAAUAAUGACAUGAAUGAAAAUCGGAGAAAUAUACGAGUAUUCGCGAAGGAGACAAAAGAGGGGACGAAAAACGAUAAUAUACAAAAUUAAAACAGGCGUAGACCGAGAACCGAAUUGAACUUAAAAAAACAGUAAUUAAGAACCGAAUUGAACUGGAAAAAAAGUAAUUAAGAACCGAAUUGAACUUAAAAAAACAGUAAUUAAGAACCGAAUUGAACUUAAAAAAACAGUAAUUAAGAACCGAAUUGAACUUAAAAAAACAGUAAUUAAGAACCGAAUUGAACUUAAAAAAACAGUAAUUAAGAACCGAAUUGAACUUAAAAAAAAGUAAUUAAGAACCGAAUUGAACUGAAAAAAUGUAAUUAAGAACCGAAUUGAACUGGAAAAAAAAGUAAUUAAGAACCGAAUUGAACUGGAAAAAAAGUAAUUAAGAACCGAAUUGAACUGGAAAAAAUGUAAUUAAGAACCGAAUUGAACUUAAAAAAAACAGUAAUUAAGAACCGAAUUGAACUGUAAAAAAGUAAUUAAGAACCGAAUUGAACUGAAAAAAAGUAAUUAAGAACUGAAUUGAACUGUAAAAAAGUAAAUAAGAACUGAAUUGAACUGAAUAAAGGUAAUUAAAACCGAAUUAAACCGAGAUCAUAAUUAAACCCUAAACCAGUAUAAAACACGUCUCUCUCGUUAACCACAAUCACCGCAGUCAACAUUAAAACAUUAAAACAAUAUAAAACGAAACAAACGAAAAGUCAUUAAAACUUAGACAAAUAAUUAGUCAUCUUAAUUAUUAGCGAGCAGAAUAGUACGGCUAAUACUAAUAAUACUAAUAUCACUAAUGGUAAUAAUGAUAAUAAUAAUAAUGAGAAGAAGAAGAAGAAGAAGAAGAAGAAGAAGAAGAAGAAGAAAAGAAAAAGAAAAAAAUAAGAAAAGGAGGAAGAGAAGGAAGAAGAAAAAAAGAAGAGAAAAGCGAAAAAGAAAGAAAGAAGAAAAAGAAAAAAUAUACAAAGAUAAUAACAAUAAUAAUAAUAAUAAUAAUAAUAAUAAUAAUAAUAAUAAUAAUAAUAAUAAUAAUAAUAAUAAUAAUAAUAAUAAUAAUAAUAAUAAUAAUAAUAAUAAUAAUAAUAAUAAUAACAAUAAUAAUAAUAAUAAUAAUAAUAAUAAUAAUAAUAAUAAUAAUAGCCUAAUAAUAUGGGUUACUUUGAGCGCAUUUAAACACAUUAUCAAUAUCUAAGUUAAUUUGUUAUAUAACGUAAACUUUGGUUCAUCAACGAAUUCCACCUUGAACACUUUCCUUCUCGAUGUAAAAAAAAAAAAGGGAGAGUAAGAAAGGGAGAAAGCGAGAGAAAAAAGGGAGAAAGGGAGUAAAUUUUGACCUAUUCUUUUCUCCCUUUUCUCUCUUUUUCUUCCUUCCCUCCCUCUUGUUUUUUUUUUCCUCCUCUGAUCCAUUUCUUUUAUGCGUUCCAUUCUCAUCUUUUUCUUCCUCCUUUGCUGUCUACUUUUCUCUCUUCUUCCCCCUUUUAUCAUCCUUUCCAUUAUCAUCCUCUCUUUCUUCCUCUUCCAUCCCUGUCUAAUCUUCUCCUCUCAUCUGCUUUAUUGUUUUCCAUCUUCGUCUUCUCUUCCUUCUUCUUCACUCCAAGUUUCGUAUCUUCUCUCCUCUCCUCUCUUUCUCUUCACUCUCAUCUCCUCUUCCUUCUUCCUUCCCUGCCUUCUCUUCCUUCUUCUUCACUCCAAGUUUCGUAUCUUCUCUCCUCUCCUCUCUUUCUCUUCAUUCUCAUCUCCUCUUCCUUUCUUUACUCUCCCAUACUUUCCAUUAUCAUAUUCUUUUCCUUUUCCUUCAUUUCUUGUCACGCGUUUUCUCUUAUCUCCUCACAUUCCUUCUAUUCUCAUCUCCUUUUUCUUCUU